GUAGGUGGCAAGCGUUGUCCGGAAUUAUUGGGCGUAAAGCGCGCGCAGGCGGUCCUUUAAGUCUGAUGUGAAAGCCCACGGCUCAACCGUGGAGGGUCAUUGGAAACUGAGGGACUUGAGUACAGAAGAGGAAAGCGGAAUUCCACGUGUAGCGGUGAAAUGCGUAGAGAUGUGGAGGAACACCAGUGGCGAAGGCGGCUUUCUGGUCUGUAACUGACGCUGAGGCGCGAAAGCGUGGGGAGCAAACAGGAUUAGAUACCCUGGUAGUCCACGCCGUAAACGAUGAGUGCUAAGUGUUAGGGGGGUUUUCCGCCCCCCUUAGUGCUGCAGCUAACGCAUUAAGCACUCCGCCUGGGAGUACGACCGCAAGGUUG
rnacentral:rRNA from 1 species